rnacentral:rRNA from 1 species
CAGCCGCCGCGGUAAUACGGAGGGAGCUAGCGUUGUUCGGAAUUACUGGGCGUAAAGCGCGCGUAGGCGGUUACUCAAGUCAGAGGUGAAGGCCCGGGGCUCAACCCCGGAACUGCCUUUGAAACUAGGUGACUAGAAUCUUGGAGAGGUCAGUGGAAUUCCGAGUGUAGAGGUGAAAUUCGUAGAUAUUCGGAAGAACACCAGUGGCGAAGGCGACUGACUGGACAAGUAUUGACGCUGAGGUGCGAAAGCGUGGGGAGCAAACAGGAUUAGAGACCCCCGUAGUCCCUGUCUCUUAUAC